UACGUAGGGCGCAAGCGUUGUCCGGAAUUAUUGGGCGUAAAGAGCUCGUAGGCGGCCUGUUGCGUCCGCUGUGAAAGCCCGGGGCUUAACCCCGGGUCUGCAGUGGAUACGGGCAGGCUAGAGGUAGGUAGGGGAGAAUGGAAUUCCCGGUGUAGCGGUGAAAUGCGCAGAUAUCGGGAGGAACACCGGUGGCGAAGGCGGUUCUCUGGGCCUUACCUGACGCUGAGGAGCGAAAGCGUAGGGAGCGAACAGG
rnacentral:rRNA from 1 species